UACGUAGGGGGCAAGCGUUGUUCGGAAUUACUGGGCGUAAAGGGCGCGUAGGCGGCACAGCAAGUCGGGAGUGAAAGCCCGGGGCUCAACCCCGGAACAGCUUUCGAAACUGCUGAGCUAGAGUACAGAAGGGGCAACCGGAAUUCCCAGUGUAGCGGUGAAAUGCGUAGAUAUUGGGAAGAACACCUGAGGCGAAGGCGGGUUGCUGGGCUGAUACUGACGCUGAGGCGCGAAAGCCAGGGGAGCAAAUGGGGAAUUAGAAACCCCGGGGUAGGUCCAAGACCGAAAGUACCUCUGCUA
rnacentral:rRNA from 1 species